ACGUCGUUUCCUUGGGAACGGCCUGGGGCGGGCGGUAAGUCCGGGAUGGUGGGCAAGGAGUUGUGGUAAAGUGGAGUCGGUCUCUACUUUGGGUUUCGGCUCCACUGUGGGAAUCGGCCUCUCCUCUUCCUGCCCUCGGAACAGUGAGUGUCUGUCAGCGCCUCACCGCACCGGCUCUCUGCCUCAGAUUAUAGACUCCAGUAGCUGAAGUGAAGUUAACUGGACUACAGUCACCUGCUUUUUAUCUUCCACCCUUCAACAAUGGUUUUCAACUCCACUGGGACCUUUCCGUAACAGCUGCCUUUGUCUUCCAUUGUUGGUGAUGGUUGCCUCAUUCUCCCUUUCGAAUAUAGUUUCUGCUGAGGGAUGAACUGAUCCUGCAUCUGCCAAAUUACUCCUGGAAAUUGAAGCUUUUCAUACAAAGGCCGACUUCCCCAGGUCAUCUCAAACCCAUUGUGCACUCAACGAAUCUUCACUGUCCACUCUGCCAACAACAUUGCUGUCAUCUGCAAACUCACUGAUCACGUUUACAACAAUGUCAGAGAAACUGUUAACAUUGAUGACAAAUGACAGUACCAGAACCGAUCCCUGUGAACGUCACUGGUCAGAGGCCUCCAACCUGAAUGACAAGCUGCCACGACCACCCUCUGUCUCCUUCUAUCAAGCCAAUUUUGUGACGCUGAUAUUAGGCAGUGUCUUGUCUGGCAUCCUUUCUGCUCCAAGUGUGUAAUUCAGAAGAAAUAAAGAAUAAAGAAAAACAGCUACCAGAAGUGCCGAAGCCGCAACUCCCCGCUCCAAUUCUGGCCCACUCAUACAAUGACUGCUCUCUUUAGAUCUAACUGCUGUUUAUUGGAUCUUGGGUAGAAAAGGCAAAGAAUUUCUUCCUGAGAAUCUCAGUGCAACAGUGUGUCAGGUCUGAUGUGUCUGCCAGUUCCCCAGCAUUUGAAGGCUACCAAUCGUUGAAUGUGAAGGAGGAGAUGGUGGAGAGGACAGCACACCAGUCUGAGCAAGGAGAACCCCAAUACAUGGACAUGUCCUUGAUCUGGCCUGAGAAGUGGCCACAGAGUUGAUACCGGUGAGCUGACAUUCACUGCCUCUCAUCAUGCAAGGGAUUCACCAGGCCACUGAACCUGCAGAUACACCAGCCAGUUCACAGGGGGAGAGGCCAUUCACCUGUUCUGUGUGUGGGACGGGAUUCAUUCAGUCACAUAAGCUCUUACACCAUCAGCUGGGUCACACCGGUGAGCAGUUAGACUUGGCUCAGUUGUCUCUGAUUCUCAGUAUAGCUUCACACCUAUUCCGAGCAUGGGCAGAGAUUCAGUUAAGUUCACCCACUUUGUGAGGCUCCAGUGAGUUUGUAAUACAUAGAGGACACACUUCAGCCUUGUGUCAGCAAAGAAAUUUACUCAGUCAUCCCACCUGCUGAAACACUGGCAACUUCACAUCAGGGAGCAAGUUGAAAUAAGCUUUAGCUGGACAUUUUAACCAUCAUGGUGACUGAAUCUAGUUUGGAAGUUCAUGUGAGGCUGUUAAUGUCAGAUUCUGCAGAUAUUGUGACUGAUUAUUAAAAUAAAACUAAAAUAAAUGAG